UCGAGAAUCAUUCGCAAUGGGCGAAAGCCUGACGAUGCGACGCCGUGUGAGCGAAGAAGGCCUUCGGGUCGUAAAGCUCUUUCGCCUGGGAACAAGAGAGGUUGGCUAAUAACCAGCUAAUUUGAGGGUACUAGGUAAAGAAGCACCGGCUAACUCCGUGCCCGCAGCUGCGGUAAUACGGAGGGUGCAAGCAUUAAUCGGAUUUAUUGGGCGUAAAGGGCGCGUAGGCGGGGAUAAUAGUCAGAUGUGAAAUCCUGGGGCUCAACCUCAGAACUUCAUUUGAAACUGU
rnacentral:rRNA from 1 species